rnacentral:rRNA from 1 species
UACAGGGGGUGCAAACGUUGCUCGGAAUCAUUGGGCGUAAAGCGCACGUAGGCGGUCUGUUAUGUCGGAUGUGAAAGCCCCUCAGCUCAACUGAGGAAGUGCGCCCGAAACUGCAGAGCUUGAGUGCCGGAGAGGGUGGCGGAAUUCCCCCAAGUAGAGGUGAAAUUCGUAGAUAUGGGGAGGAACACCGGUGGCGAAGGCGGCCACCUGGACGGUAACUGACGCUGAGACGCGAAAGCGUGGG